CCCCGCACAGCCGGCAGGGCCCCCAGGGGCAGGGCACCCGGGAGAGCCUGACCUCCCCUCCUUCCGCGGCCCCAGCCCUCCGACCUCCAGGGGAGUCGGGGGCGGGGGUCAGCCGCUUCCGCCCGGGGUCCCUCUCCCGCGCACGGCUUUGGGCCGCGGGGCAGCUGCCCUCGGCGCCGCCCCUCCUCCCGCGGGGGCUUCGCGGUCGCGUCCCGUUCCUGCCGGCGACAGGCUGCAGUCCACGUCCAGGGAGGGCGGAGGGAGGAGGCGAGGGAGGGGAGCGGGGAGCGGGGAGGGAGGAAGGCGAGAGAAAGGGCGCUGCUCGGAUCCCGGACUUCCCAGAGCCUGCCAGGAGCGCGCACUCGGCGACUCUGCCGGUCCCCGUGUCCCAGCCGCGCCCCGCGCCCCGCUGCUCCGCCUCCGCCUCUCCGGGCGCCCCUCGCCCCCUCCCUCAGCAGCUGCUGGGCUCGAGCUGCGGCCGCCCCCAGCCCCUACCCGGCCCCAUCCCCAACUCUCUGGGGUCACUCCUGGGACGCGCGUCCUCGCCCCAUCCUUUCUUCCUUCCCUCGAGCCCGCCUCCCUGUCCAGGUCUCGCGCCCGGGUCCCGAUUGUCUCCGUCCCCUCCUCAGCCCGCCCGCGCCUCGCCUCGCCCUGCCGGGUCUCGCGCACUUCCUGAGUCGCCCGGAGCCCGAAGUCGAGACGCCGCUGCCCCGGCCGCAGCCGCCGCGCCCGGGGAAGGGAACAGUGGGCGAGCGCGCCCUCGCCCAGCCCCGCGCCCAGCCCUGCCCGGCGAGGGAGGACCGGGAAGAUGAACAACGGCGUCAAAGCCGAGAAGGAGAACACCCCGAACGAGGCCAACCUUCAGGAGGAAGAGGUGGGAGUCUUUCCAUUUCAAGGCCUGUUUUGGCCUUUCUAUCCAGAAAAGUUCAAGACUGACACAGUCCGGACCCUAUUCGUCAGUGGUCUCCCUCUGGAUAUCAAACCUCGGGAGCUCUAUUUGCUAUUCAGACCAUUUAAGGGCUACGAGGGUUCUCUUAUAAAGCUCACAUCUAAGCAGCCCGUAGGUUUUGUCAGUUUUGACAGUCGCUCAGAAGCAGAAGCUGCAAAGAAUGCUUUGAAUGGCAUCCGCUUCGAUCCUGAAAUUCCGCAAACACUACGACUAGAGUUUGCUAAGGCAAACACGAAGAUGGCCAAGAACAAACUAGUAGGGACUCCAAACCCCAGUACUCCUCUGCCCAACACUGUACCUCAGUUCAUUGCCAGAGAGCCAUAUGAGCUCACAGUGCCUGCACUUUACCCCAGUAGCCCUGAAGUGUGGGCCCCGUACCCUCUGUACCCAGCGGAGUUAGCGCCUGCUCUACCUCCUCCUGCUUUCACCUAUCCCGCUUCACUGCAUGCCCAGAUGCGCUGGCUCCCUCCCUCCGAGGCUACUUCUCAGGGCUGGAAGUCCCGUCAGUUCUGCUGAAUACUACGUUCCAGGUGUGUGAUGGUGGCUGCAAUCUGUCUUGUGGGUAUUAACACAAUCUUCAAUGGUGGCUACUGGUCUUGAGCUAUUCUACAAAACUGGAGCAUGCUGGCUUGAAAAAACCUUGCCCAGUUUUGAGCCCUUCAAGACUUUGCCACAGCCUCUAUCACACAUCUGUUUUUCUUGAAGAAAAAAAUAAAAAUGUUUUACUCUUUUACACUGUAUAAUUGUAAGAAAUAGUGUUAUUUGUGAAUGCAUGGUCUGACAUUUCUGUACAGUUUGGAGAUAUUUUCAAAUGAAACAAAAAAGAUGUCAACAAUAAAAUCAAGAAUGAGUAUUUUUAUACCAAACAUUUAAGUAUGACAGGAUGGAUGAUCUUACACUGGGUUGGAUAACAAUUUUUGUGCUUGACUUUUGAAUGCUUGUAAUUAAAAAUAUCUAUUUUUUUCCUUUAAAAUAAGCUGCAUGUUUGAGGCAUGUUUUUAAAUAUUUCCAGAAUCGUAUUGUGAAUGUAUAGAAAUCUGUGCCUGGCUUGAGUCCAGGGUGAAUUAGAAACAUAGUGUUAGAUGUUAGAAACAACUGUGCCGUCUGCAGUACUAGGUGUAGGAUCCUUGCAAGACAAUCAAAAGCCUCCAUGGUGGCAUGCUCACAGCUGGGCAAAGAAGCCUUUCCUUGGUACGAAUUCCUGAUCAGUGUGCCCUUAGAAAGCUUCGGCACACUUCACAGGUGACUAUAAAACUGUGUGACCCACAAAUGCAUAACCCCAAGUGCAGAGUCUGUCUCACUGAGAAGGGGAAACCCUAGCUUGGGAGGCCCGUGCUGCCCCAAGAGGGAGCUGUCUUUGCCCAACCUGUGUGGCUGCAGUGGGCAGCUCAUAGCUCCCAAGGGAUUCUGCAAAACAUCAGCUGAGCUGAGUCUUGGCAGCACCAUGCCAAAUAAGCCAUUUACAACUUUAUCUUGAAUCCGAUGUGCUCACUGGGACACUACUUACCGCACCAGCCCAGAGAUGGUGCAACCAGUGGGUGUUUGGGAUGACUACUGCUCAGCUUGCUUCAACACUUCUCCAAAACCAAAGUCAGUCUUGUAUCAUAAGCUGACACAUUUCUAGAGUCUGUGACAGCUCAGUCUCUCCCCCUUGUAGAAGAGCCAUGUAUAAAAAUAUACUGACCUAAGAAUUUUCAAGUGCUGAUAUAGCUAAACAUCACAAUCUUCCUUAUUGAUCUGCUCACGUUAUAAAGGCUUGCUUUAAUGAUCAUAUGGUUUGUUUCAGGGUUUUUGUCAUUACUUUCCAUUAGAAAUUAUGAUGUCAAGAAGCUUUUAAAGGUCAUCACCAAAAAAAAAAAAAAAGACAAAAAGAGCAAAGACAGAGGGGCUCUUACCCUCAUGUAGAUGAGGCAAAGAGCACUUACAGCAGCAUGAGGACAGCUGUGUUCAAGCCCUGCUCACAGCUUCAGCACCGCCUGGCUCUUGGUGAGACAUCUGUACUCUUGUUUCUAAGGAAAACAAACCACUUCUACAGUCUAUUAUGCUUUUAUAAACUGUUUAAAGGUACUUUUCUAUUGUCAUUUUUAAAAAUAAACUGCUUAUCCCUGCUGUCACA